rnacentral:rRNA from 1 species
AUAUUGGUCAAUGGAGGGAACUCUGAACCAGCCAUGCCGCGUGCAGGAGGAAGGCCCNNNGGGUCNUCAACUGCUUUUGCCGGNGACNAACCGUCCCGACGUGUCGGGACCUGAGUGUACCCGGAGAAUAAGGAUCGGCUAACUCCGUGCCAGCAGCCGCGGUAAUACGGAGGAUCCGAGCGUUAUCCGGAUUUAUUGGGUUUAAAGGGUGCGUAGGCGGCUUUCUAAGUCAGGGGUGAAAUACAGCGGCUCAACCGUUGCAGUGCCUUUGAUACUGGGGGGCUUGAAUGUGGUCGAAGGCGGCGGAAUGGGACAAGUAGCGGUGAAAUGCAUAGAUAUGUCCCAGAACCCCGAUAGCGAAGGCAGCUGCCUAGGCCAUAAUUGACGCUGAUGCACGAAAGCGUGGGGAUCGAACA